UUUUUGUCAAGGAAAGCAUAAUGUCUUUCUAAGCUUUAGAGGGAAGGAUACCCGCUUGAAUUUUCUGGAACAUCUACAUGCUGCAUUGAUUCAACAAGGAAUUUCCACCUUCAGAGAUGACAGAGAUCUUGUUAAAGGAUUACCUAUUGCAGCGCAACUUUUCCAAGACACAGAAAUAGAGAUUUCUGAUGACAUUACUUCUGAUGAGCUUCUCAAUCAAAUAUAUCGUUCCCUUGGGGUGGAUUCAAAUCAAUAUAUGAGCAGUAUGAAUGAUGACCACAGAACGUUGAUCUGUAAGAGUCUUUUUUCCAUUACGGGGUUCAAGAAUCCACUGCGGAAUGCUUGUGAAAGAAAGAUUGAAGUUCGAGUUUUUGUGAAUUAUGACGGAGAGUGGGUGAAUUCUACAUACCUUGGUGGUAAAACGAAAGGAAUACUAAUUUCUGAUGAUAUUACGUAUCAAGGACUUGUGGAUAGAGUAUAUGGUGUUGUAGGAGUUGAUCCACGGAAUAUAAGCUUAUAUUGAAGACCAAAUAUGAAUCAAAGUUACCUACUCAACCCGUGGAGAUAGCCGAUGCUGACGACCUUGCAUAUUGCAUCAAAGAGAACCGUGCAUGGGAUAUGAGUUGUAGUGUUGCUUUGUGCACUACUUUUCAACAACGGGCAUUUCCUUAUGGAAGACAACAGCAGUAGGGCACGAGUUAAUAGAUUUGGGGACUAUCACGGUUACAUUCAUGGUGUGACAACUGAUCCGGUGCAUCAGCAGCAGCGUUACUACCAGCAGCAGCCUCCUUACUACCGACAAAUGUCGACACGGCAGCCUUACUACGAGUAGUACAGACCUCCCUAUCAGCAGCUGCAAUGGGCAUACCAAUAUCCCCAUCCUUCCUACAUGCACCAGCAACAGCCUCCCAACAUCGUCUGGCAUCACUAUCAGCCCCAUAUAUAUUCAGCAUCUUACCAGUAGUGGCUACAUUUUCUUACUUGUCGAACGGUUUUACUGUGGUUUCAAGCUUGAUUGGCAAAGCAUGCUCGUACUUCAAAUGUUGGAUUUGAUAUUUUUGUGUAGUCUAUUGAAGCAAGCUGCUGGUUUGUGCGCAACACUCCCGGCUUCCUAUUGAUGUCCACUGAAAGAUCUGGUUCAGGGUGUGACACAUGAUAAGGACCUUAAACUUCAAGCUCCAGUCAGUCAUCAUUAUCAACUUGCCCUACUUGCAGCAACAACGCUCACACCUGCAACAAAUCUCUUGCAGCUAAUGAACAGAAUUGCAGACUGAGCAACAGAAUCAACCUUUUUACCAGCAGUACAACCUUCCCACAGUCAACAGCCUGAGUUUUCAAACAACCACUGAAAAUGUGAAGCGUAUCCCGCACACUGGAAAGAAUGGACUUGAGAAUGCUUUUAUAAGAACUUCAGAAUGCU